rnacentral:lncRNA from 1 species
UCUGGGGUCUGAAUGCCGCGCCCUCUGGAGAGCCACAGAUGGGUCUCCGCUGAUGCUUCUCUCAAUUUCCUCUAAGAGCGAGAGCUCCGGGAAAGGAGCCGAUCCUGGUGGAAGACUACAGGUCUGAGUCCACUGGACGAAAAACGAGGAGGAUUCAGGCAGUGCUGUCCUUACAUCGCAAUCAUUCAGGUUUUGGUGAGACAUAAACUAUGAAACAAACAGAAAGAUGGAACAUGAGAAAGGGUCAAGGGUGGCCUUGGUUAGGGAUGGCAGCUUUUACUCCUUGGAUUAGAGACCAUCCUGAGGACAUCCUUGGGAGCCAUGUGCUGAAGAUGGCCAAGCCACAGGAUGAAAGGAGCUGCAUC